rnacentral:lncRNA from 1 species
ACCCUUAAAAAUCCCUAGCCCCAAUUUUUCUUUUUUUCUAAGUUUGUUUUCUUCCUCCCCAAGUUCCUUCAACAAACCCUAGCCCCCACUCCCUCCAACUGCCCCUUUCCGACUGCCGUUCCUUCCCUCUUCCUCACCCCUUCGAGACACCCCUUCCCUUGGCCUCUCUCUUCUCCUCUCCCUCGCCCUUCCCUCGAUGCAGCCACUUUCCGUCACCCCCGUCGUACAGCACAUCCCCACCCAAACCCUCCUCCCUUGGCCUUCCUCUUCCCACCUCGACCCCUACACCCUCUUCGACCCAGCCUC